CCGCCAGAGAACUACUAGUGAAAAACUUAAAACUCAAAGGACUUGGCGGUGUCCCAUUUCGGCCUAGAGGAGCCUGUCCUAUAAUCGACACUCCCCGUUCCACCCAACCUCCACUUGCACAUUCAGCCUAUAUACCGCCGUCGACAGUCUACCCCAUGAGGGGCUUUUAGUAGACACAAUAGCAAAAACUCGCUAAUACGUCAGGUCAAGGUGUAGCAAAUGUUGAGGCAGAGAUUGGCUACAUUUUUUGUUUCAAAACAAACGAAAUGCAACAUGAAACAUUGCACGAAGGUGAAUUUAGUAGUAAAAUGAAC
rnacentral:rRNA from 1 species